AGAGUUUGAUCCUGGCUCAGAACGAACGCUGGCGGCAUGCCUAACACAUGCAAGUCGAACGAGACCUUCGGGUCUAGUGGCGCACGGGUGCGUAACGCGUGGGAAUCUGCCCUUGGGUUCGGGAUAACAGUUGGAAACGACUGCUAAUACCGGAUGAUAUCUUCGGAUCAAAGAUUUAUCGCCCAGGGAUGAGCCCGCGUAGGAUUAGCUUGUUGGUGAGGUAAAAGCUCACCAAGGCGACGAUCCUUAGCUGGUCUGAGAGGAUGAUCAGCCACACUGGGACUGAGACACGGCCCAGACUCCUACGGGAGGCAGCAGUGGGGAAUAUUGGACAAUGGGCGAAAGCCUGAUCCAGCAAUGCCGCGUGAGUGAUGAAGGCCUUAGGGUUGUAAAGCUCUUUUACCCGGGAUGAUAAUGACAGUACCGGGAGAAUAAGCCCCGGCUAACUCCGUGCCAGCAGCCGCGGUA
rnacentral:rRNA from 1 species